UUUUUGGGUUUGAUUCCAGGUUCUAAGACAUGAAGAAGGCAAUGUUUCAAAUGCAACCAUAGCAGCAAAUGUUAGACCAAACUACAAGACACCUUCGCUCAGCUCUGAUCAAGAUCUAAACAGCACACUCCAUGUAGAAUAUGCAUCUGUGAAAAGAACUCCAGCUCCUGUCACUCAGCCUCAGGUUCCCAGUGCAAAUACAGAAGAUGUUUCUUAUGCUGCCAUUAAGUUUCCUGCCCAAGAUGAACGAGCAAUCUAUGCCAAUUUGAAGUAGACAUCCAAUCCAACCUAACUACAACAGACUGUUUAGAGCUGAAGAAGAAACCCAUUCUCCAUGGGACUCUUUCCUCCUCCAUUUAGCCAUUACAAUAUUGCCUUCCAUUCACUGCCAGAAUGUGACUGGACUCCAUCCUCUUGUUCCAGCACCAACCAGUUAUCUGCAAUAAGAUGUUAUUUCAUUCUUGCUACUGGAGGACUCCAAGAUGGCUGCCACUGCCAGGAAGCCAUCUGGAAUAAACCCUCCUCUAAUCAGAUCACUGAGCAGCCCUAUUCACAGAGUGGCUACAGAACAUGAAUACAUGGCAGAAGAGGGUCUCUACUGAAGACAGACAUUCUCUACCCUUGCAGGAAGAUACUGGGUGCAGGAUCAAGUCCUUCA